rnacentral:rRNA from 1 species
ACUGGUAUGAAUGGCAAGACGGAACUUAACUGUCUCCUUUUCUCAUAUCCUAAUUUCACUUUCCCGUGAAGAGGCGGGAAAACAUUCGCUAGACGAGAAGACCCUGUCGAGCUUAAGCAGAACGCUAAUUUCUACUUCCUCUUAAUUACAUUCUAAUUUUUUUUCUGUUAAAUUUAACUAAGAGAAAAUUAUUAGUACAAGCUUUGGUUGGGGCAACCACGGAGAAGAAAAAUCCUCCGCUUACAACAGAUAAAAACAAGACCCUACAAGUCUAAUAUUGUAUAAACAAGUCAACUGAUCCACCACGGUGAUCAAAGGAAAAAGUUACCGCAGGGAUAACAGCGUUAUCUUUUCUGAGAGUUCACAUUGACGAAAAGGUUUGCGACCUCGAUGUUGGAUCGGGACAUCCUAAGGGUGCAGAAGCUUUUAAAGGGUUGGUCUGUUCGACCAUUAAAGUCCU